CUCUUAGAGGAUCGAUGACCUGCUGAUGAACCUCCCACUAAAUUCAUCGACUUUUUUUGGUGCUGGCAGUCCUUUUCAAAAGUCUGCAGUAAUCCUAGCAAACCAUGGUAGCUCACUACAGGCUUCAUCAUUCUGUAAUGAUUGAGAAAGGGUAGGUAGAAUUUCGGUAGUGAAUUGAGGAUAGCAUCCUUGCCUAACUAUUCUUGCAACAGAAAGCCAAGUU
rnacentral:lncRNA from 1 species